GACGAACCGUGCGAACGUUAUUCGGAAUCACUGGGCUUAAAGCGCGUGUAGGCGGGGCGGCACGUCGGUCGCUGAAAUCCCCCGGCUCAACCGGGGAACGGGCGCCGAUACGACCGUCCUGGAGGGACGUAGGGGGACCUGGAACUUCCGGUGGAGCGGUGAAAUGCGUUGAGAUCGGAAGGAACGCCCGUGGCGAAAGCGGCGACCUGGACAGGCACUGACACUCAACUACGAAAGCGUGGGGAGCAAACAGG
rnacentral:rRNA from 1 species